UGAGUCAUCCAGGCGCCCUUUCCAGGGGACUUUGUUCUUUUUCCCAAACCCGUCUCUUAACUGAUGCCCUUACCACGCCCAAAUGGGUGCUUUCCGUCCAGGACCACUCAUUCCCAGAAUGGCCUGGCUCUUAGAUUCCACUGGGAUGCCCACCUAGAACAUCUUUCCUCUUCUGUGUGCUGCAAGAUUCUCUUCAUUCUCUGAGUCUUGGCUCAGAGGCCUCCUCCUAGCUGAGUCCUCCUCGGGGCCCAGGUCACACUUGGAGCUUCUCAUGUCAGCUCUUAUGACUCUGGGUGCAUAUUUCUAUUAUUUUGUCACACAGUCCUAAUGUUAGGUGACUUCAUGUCCGUGUUCUCUACUAGGACAGACUAGGCUGAGUGCUGUACCUGGAGGGACUUCCUCUGGUCACAUCUGUGUCCCCAGGGCUCGCAUGGUGCUUGGCUCCAAAGCAGGUGUCCAUAAAGGGCUGGAGUAUGAAUGAGUGGCAGGAUGACAUUUUGACAUAUUAAUCUGUGUGUUUCUCAUAGUUUUCCACCCCACCCCUUCCAUUUUAAGUAUACUGGCCAGUUGGUAAUUCCUUAAUUUGGACUUGGUGCAAAGCAGACGAGCCUGAGUUCAAUGACUUCCUGUCCUUUGAACGAAUCUAAAUUCAGCGGGUUUUCUGUACAUUGUGGGGGAAGGGUAGGGGUAAAGAGGGAGAUGACCUUUGAGAAAGAAGAAAUGAAGGUCUAGAAAGGGGGAGAGAGUUGUGGGUGCCCUUACCCUUGAUGGAGGUGGCCAGCAAAGAUUUUUGCUCCCCAAAAUGACAUGAAAACAGAGUCAGCUACCGCCCAUCACUGGGGUUUGGCAAAUGAUGUAUCUACAUUGGAUGAAAGACAAGACCCCACCCUACCUUUCUGGGCACUUGAGAUCUGAGGGUCCUAAGUGGGGAAGGGAAAUGAAGCUUCAGGAAUGACCGACAUGGACUUUCUUGCCAACUGGGGCCUUGGAGUAGAAAUUAAAUUGAUGUAGGGGUGCCUGGGUGGCUCAGUUGGUUGUGUCUGACUCUUGAUUUCAGCUCAGCUCAUGAUCCCAGGAUCAUGGGAUUGAGCCCCAUGUCAGGCCCCAGGCUGAGUGUGGAGCCUGCUUAAAAUUCUCUCUCUCUCUCUGUCUCUCUCUCUGUCUCUCUCUCUCUCUCUCUCUCUCUCUCCCUCUCCCCAGCUUGUGUGCUUUCUCUCUCUCUAAAAUAAAAAAUAAUAUAAAAAUUUUUUAAUUAAAUUUAUUUAUAGGACAUAAAGAGGGGCACAGGGCUGGCACAGUUGGUAGAGCAAGUGACUUUUGAUCUUGGGGUCAUAGGUUUGAGCCCCACCUUGGGUGUAGAGAUUACUUAAAAAAUAAAAUCUUAGGGGUGCCUGGGUGACUCAGUGGGUUAAGCAUCCAGCUCUGCUUUUCAGCUCAGGUCAUGAUCCCAUAGUUUGUGGGAUCAAGACUCUCAUCAGGCUCCCAGACUGACAGCACAGAGACUACUUGGGAUUCUCUCUCUCCCUUUCUUUCUGUCUCCCCACCUCCACCCUGCUCACGCAUGUGCACGCAUGCACGUGUGUGCUCUCUCUCUCUCAAAAUAAAUAAAUCUUGAAAAAUCUUGAAAAAAUGCAUAGGACAUAAAAAAAUGGUAUUUCUUGCAUACUUGAGUUGGAGGAUAAAUUAUCAUCCACUAGGAAUGAAUUCUGGAGCCUUUAAGUCCUGAAACGUUGCUCCCCAUCCCCCUCUUCUGCCCCCCAAAUUUUGCCAAGACUUGAACUGGUCCAGAAUUUAGCCCCUCAUCCCCUCAUCUUUUGCCUGUAGUGUGGGCAUUUGGAGAAUGUUUUAUCAUUCUCAAGACUGGAUGGUGACCUGUCCUCAUGGCAGCCUGGCACAGCCCCAGAAGAGGAAUUCUUCAGCCACCAGACGUCCCCUUCCAGACACUGAAAGCCCCAGUAAGGCAAACUGUAUCCUUCGCUCAAGGAAGAUGGAGAAUAGAAGUGUUGUUCAAGGCCAAGCCCCAGGCAUGAGAGGACCCACUGGUCACCUCCAUUCUACUAAAGACCUCUUAGAAACCACAAGCAUCUCUAUCCCAUCUCCAGCCUCUCUCUUGUGCCUGCUGUCCCCCUCCACCUUGAUGCAGAGCCAAAGCUCCCAGGGAAUGGUGUGGUGACAGAAUGUCUGACUUUCUCAUGCUCCUUCAGCCUGGGGACACAACAUCUAUCUCUGAGGUAGACUGGGGAGGAGAAUAUAUGUUGAGAGGAGGAGAGCAGACCAGCAAAGAGAAGAAGGGAAGCUGAGUGGGGACUGGGUGGGUGGGGGACAGAGCGAGGAAGGAGAGCUUGGGUUGAGGUUCCCCCAAAAGCAGAGUCUGAGACAAGAGCUUGCACAUAGGUAGUUGACUUGGGAAGCUCCUCGGGUAGAGGAUGGAGGGACUGGGAAGAGUAGCAUGUGGAAGGAGGGAGAGCCAUUCCGGGGGAAUGCUACCACAUUGGUCUCCGUGGAGGCUGAACGGAGUAUGGUCCUGCUGGUCGCCUCUGAGGAGCACUGCAGAAGGGGCCAUAGAGUUGUCCACCCGAGGGAAAGAAGACAGGACACUCAUCUACCAGUUUCGGCCUCUGCUGGCUGAGUGUCGCCCCGUGGACUGUUGAUUCCUUCUUUCCUCCAGGUUCAUCCAGAGUCCUGUGUCUGAGGACAGGAGGGAAGUGGAAGAGGCAUGCAGCCAAAGCAGAAAUGUGGGCCAAGAAGAUGUAAGCCGGGACACAACGCAGGAGCGGAGGGCAGAUCCUCAGAUGGACUUCCUCCAUUCACACCCAUGAAAGAGUGUCUCUCCCAGAGCAGGGCCCCGUGGUCUCCGGUGACUCAGAUGGGUGAGGAAGAGGAGCAUGCACCACAGGCACCUGGGAGGGCAGAUGUUACAGAGGGAACAAGCUGCUCCUGUGAUGGGCAGUGGAGUAGAAGAUUGCAGCUUCCAGCCUGGAGGCCCCGCAAGGUCGGUUGCUGUGUCAUUCAGAGCUAGUCCUUACAGGAAAAAAAUGAGAGGGCAACACACAUUUGUUGAAAAAAUUUAAACUAUCUUUUGCAUUUAUUUUCAUGUUUUAAUACAAGUUAUAGACUUUCCUGGGGCACCUGGGUGGCUCAGUCGGUUAAGCAUUCCACUUCAGCUCAGGUCAUGAUCUCAUGGUCUGUGGGUUCGAGCCCCACGUCGGGCUCUGUGCUGACAGCUUGGAGCCUGGAGCCUGCUUCGGAUUCUGUGUCUCCCUCUCUCUCUGCCCCUCCCCCACUUGUGCUCUG